rnacentral:rRNA from 1 species
CAGCCGCCGCGGUAAUACGGGGGGAGCUAGCGUUGUUCGGAAUUACUGGGCGUAAAGCGCGCGUAGGCGGUUACUCAAGUCAGAGGUGAAAGCCCGGGGCUCAACCCCGGAACUGCCUUUGAAACUAGGUGACUAGAAUCUUGGAGAGGUCAGUGGAAUUCCGAGUGUAGAGGUGAAAUUCGUAGAUAUUCGGAAGAACACCAGUGGCGAAGGCGGCUGACUGGACAAGUAUUGACGCUGAGGUGCGAAAGCGUGGGGAGCAAACAGGAUUAGAUACCCCGGUAGUCCCUGUCUCUUAUAC